CAGGUCGGUAGGUUCUCAAGACGGAAAGACCUCAGGUCGGAAGGUCUUCAGGUCGGUAGGUCCUCAAGACGGAAAGUCCUCAGGACGGAAGGGCCUCAGGUCGGUAGGUCCUCAAGACGGAAAGACCUCAGGUCGGAAGGUCUUCAGGUCGGUAGGUCCUCAAGACGGAAAGUCCUCAGGACGGAAGGGCCUCAGGUCGGUAGGUCCUCAAGACGGAAAGACCUCAGGUCGGAAGGUCUUCAGGUCGGGAGGUCCUCAAGACGGAAAGUCAUCAGGACGGAAGGACCUCAGGUCGGUAGGUCCUCAAGAUGGAAAGACCUCAGGUCGGAAGGUCU